AGAGUUUGAUCAUGGCUCAGAACGAACGCUGGCGGCAGGCUUAACACAUGCAAGUCGAGCGCCCCGCAAGGGGAGCGGCAGACGGGUGAGUAACGCGUGGGAACGUACCAUUUGCUACGGAAUAACUCAGGGAAACUUGUGCUAAUACCGUAUGUGCCCGAAAGGGGAAAGAUUUAUCGGCAAAUGAUCGGCCCGCGUUGGAUUAGCUAGUUGGUGGGGUAAAGGCCUACCAAGGCGACGAUCCAUAGCUGGUCUGAGAGGAUGAUCAGCCACACUGGGACUGAGACACGGCCCAGACUCCUACGGGAGGCAGCAGUGGGGAAUAUUGGACAAUGGGCGCAAGCCUGAUCCAGCCAUGGCCGCGUGAGUGAUGAAGGCCCUAGGGUUGUAAAGCUCUUUCACCGGUGAAGAUAAUGACGGUAACCGGAGAAGAAGCCCCGGCUAACUUCGUGCCAGCAGCCGCGGUAAUACGAAGGGGGCUAGCGUUGUUCGGAUUUACUGGGCGUAAAGCGCACGUAGGCGGGCUAAUAAGUCAGGGGUGAAAUCCCGGGGCUCAACCCCGGAACUGCCUUUGAUACUGUUAGUCUUGAGUAUGGUAGAGGUGAGUGGAAUUCCGAGUGUAGAGGUGAAAUUCGUAGAUAUUCGGAGGAACACCAGUGGCGAAGGCGGCUCACUGGACCAUUACUGACGCUGAGGUGCGAAAGCGUGGGGA
rnacentral:rRNA from 1 species